rnacentral:rRNA from 1 species
UNUGACUUGAGUGCAGAAGGGGAGAGUGGAAUUCCAUGUGUAGCGGUGAAAUGCGUAGAUAUAUGGAGGAACACCNGGGGCGAAAGCGGCUCUCUGGUCUGUCACUGACGCUGAGGCUCGAAAGCGUGGGUAGCGAACAGGAUUAGAUACCCUGGUAGUNCACGCCGUAAACGAUGAGUGCUAGGUGUUAGGCCCUUUCCGGGGCUUAGUGCCGGAGCUAACGCAAUAAGCACUCCGCCUGGGGAGUACGACCGCAAGGUUGAAACUCAAAGGAAUUGACGGGGGCCCGCACAAGCGGUGGAGCAUGUGGUUUAAUUCGAAGCAACGCGAAGAACCUUACCAGGUCUUGACAUCCCGAUGCUAUUCUUAGAGAUAGGAAGUUACUUCGGUACAUCGGAGACAGGUGGUGCAUGGUUGUCGUCAGCUCGUGUCGUGAGAUGUUGGGUUAAGUCCCGCAACGAGCGCAACCCUUAUUGUUAGUUGCCAUCAUUAAGUUGGGCACUCUAGCGAGACUGCCGGUAAUAAACCGGAGGAAGGUGGGGAUGACGUCAAAUCAUCAUGCCCCUUAUGACCUGGGCUACACACGUGCUACAAUGGUCGGUACAACGAGUUGCGAGCCGGUGACGGCAAGCUAAUCUCUGAAAGCCGAUCUCAGUUCGGAUUGGAGGCUGCAACUCGCCUCCAUGAAGUCGGAAUCGCUAGUAAUCGCGGAUCAGCACGCCGCGGUGAAUACGUUCCCGGGCCUUGUACACACCGCCCGUCACACCACGAGAGUUUGUAACACCCGAAGUCGGUGAGGUAACCUUUUAGGGGCCAGCC